GACGAACGCUGGCGGCGUGCCUAAUACAUGCAAGUAGAACGCACAGUUUAUACCGUAGCUUGCUACACCAUAGACUGUGAGUUGCGAACGGGUGAGUAACGCGUAGGUAACCUGCCUGGUAGCGGGGGAUAACUAUUGGAAACGAUAGCUAAUACCGCAUAAUAUUGAUUAUUGCAUGAUAAUUGAUUGAAAGAUGCUAUUGCAUCACUACCAGAUGGACCUGCGUUGUAUUAGCUAGUAGGUGAGGUAACGGCUCACCUAGGCGACGAUACAUAGCCGACCUGAGAGGGUGAUCGGCCACACUGGGACUGAGACACGGCCCAGACUCCUACGGGAGGCAGCAGUAGGGAAUCUUCGGCAAGGGACGAAAGGCUGACCGAGCAACGCCGCGUGAGUGAAGAAGGGUUUCGGAUCGUAAAGCUCUGUUGUAAGAGAAGAACGGGUGUGAGAGUGGAAAGUUCACACUGUGACGGUAUCUUACCAGAAAGGGACGGCUAACUACGUG
rnacentral:rRNA from 1 species